GCACUGCUGAAGAGUCUCAUAAUAGGAUGAAACGCUCGUCGAGUGC
rnacentral:hammerhead_ribozyme from 1 species